UCGUGGAACGAGCGGCGGACGGGUGAGUAACACGUGGGCAACCUGCCUGUAAGAUCGGAAUAACCCCGGGAAACCGGGGCUAAUGCCGGGUAAUACUUUCUUUCGCAUGAAGGAAAGUUGAAAGAUGGCUUCUUGCUAUCACUUACAGAUGGGCCCGCGGCGCAUUAGCUAGUUGGUGAGGUAACGGCUCACCAAGGCGACGAUGCGUAGCCGACCUGAGAGGGUGAUCGGCCACACUGGGACUGAGACACGGCCCAGACUCCUACGGGAGGCAGCAGUAGGGAAUCUUCCGCAAUGGACGAAGUCUGACGGAGCAACGCCGCGUGAACGAUGAAGGUCUUCGGAUCGUAAAGUUCUGUUGUUAGGGAAGAACAAGUACCGUGCGAAUAGAGCGGUACCUUGACGGUACCUAACGAGGAAGCCCCGGCUAACUACGUGCCAGCAGCCGCGGUAAUACGUAGGGGGCAAGCGUUGUCCGGAAUUAUUGGGCGUAAAGCGCGCGCAGGCGGUUCCUUAAGUCUGAUGUGAAAGCCCACGGCUCAACCGUGGAGGGUCAUUG
rnacentral:rRNA from 2 species